GAGUUUGAUCCUGGCUCAGGAUGAACGCUAGCGGGAGGCCUAACACAUGCAAGCCGAGCGGUAGAGUAUCUUCGGAUACUUGAGAGCGGCGCACGGGUGCGGAACACGUGUGCAACCUGCCUUUAUCUGGGGGAUAGCCUUUCGAAAGGAAGAUUAAUACCCCAUAAUAUAUUGAGUGGCAUCACUUAAUAUUGAAAACUCCGGUGGAUAGAGAUGGGCACGCGCAAGAUUAGAUAGUUGGUAGGGUAACGGCCUACCAAGUCCAUGAUCUUUAGGGGGCCUGAGAGGGUGAUCCCCCACACUGGUACUGAGACACGGACCAGACUCCUACGGGAGGCAGCAGUGAGGAAUAUUGGACAAUGGGUGAGAGCCUGAUCCAGCCAUCCCGCGUGAAGGAUUAAGGUCCUAUGGAUUGUAAACUUCUUUUGUAUAGGGAUAAACCUACUCUCGUGAGAGUAGCUGAAGGUACUAUACGAAUAAGCACCGGCUAACUCCGUG
rnacentral:rRNA from 1 species